rnacentral:tRNA from 1 species
GCCCCCUUCGUCUAUCGGACAGGACAUCAGGUUCUCAUCCUGGAAAGAUGGGUUCGACUCCCGUAGGGGGC